CAGGACGAACGCUGGCGGCGUGCCUAACACAUGCAAGUCGAGCGGGGAACAUUGAAAGCUUGCUUUUGGUGUUUCUAGCGGCGGACGGGUGAGUAACGCGUGAGCAAUCUGUCUCAGACAGGGGGAUAACGCAGCGAAAGUUGCACUAAUACCGCAUAAGACCACAGAGCCACAUGGCAUAGGGGUCAAAGGAGCAAUCCGGUCUGAGGUGAGCUCGCGUCCCAUUAGGUAGUUGGUGAGGUAACGGCCCACCAAGCCUGCGAUGGGUAGCCGACCUGAGAGGGUGAUCGGCCACACUGGAACUGAGACACGGUCCAGACUCCUACGGGAGGCAGCAGUGGGGAAUAUUGGGCAAUGGGGGAAACCCUGACCCAGCAACGCCGCGUGAGGGAAGAAGGUUUUCGGAUUGUAAACCUCUGUCCUAAGAGAAGAGGGGAAGACGGUAUCUUAGGAGGAAGCCCCGGCUAACUACGUGCCAGCAGCCGCGGUAAUACGUAGGGGGCGAGCGUUGUCCGGAAUGAUUGGGCGUAAAGGGCGUGUAGGCGGCUUUAUAAGUCUGGAGUGAAAGUCCUGUUUUCAAGAUGGGAAUUGCUUUGGAUACUGUAGGGCUUGAGUGCAGGAGAGGUUAUCGGAAUUCCCGGUGUAGCGGUGAAAUGCGUAGAGAUCGGGAGGAACACCAGUGGCGAAGGCGGGUAACUGGACUGCAACUGACGCUGAGGCGCGAAAGUGUGGGGAGCAAACAGGAUUAGAUACCCUGGUAGUCCACACUGUAAACGAUGAAUGCUAGGUGUAGGGGGUAUCGACCCCUUCUGUGCCGGAGUAAACACAAUAAGCAUUCCGCCUGGGGAGUACGGCCGCAAGGUUGAAACUCAAAUGAAUUGACGGAAGGGCGAAUUC
rnacentral:rRNA from 1 species